CACCAUAUAUACCAGACAAAAAAUCAUUGAAACUUUAAAUGAAAUUUAAAAAAUGUGAAAAUAACAGUAACAAAAAAUAAUACAAGAAGAAAAGGAAAUCACGAAACACAAAGAGCUAAAACCAAGUAGAACACAAAGAAAUCAGGAAAAGGAAUCACGAACAGGAAAAAAUUUAAAAACGAUUAAAAAAGAAAGAAGAGUACCUGAAUCGAUGUGAGAGAGAAAGACAAGCUUCGAUUUGUGAGAGUAGAGGCCGGAGAAAGGAGGACAAGCUUCGAUUUGGAGUUCGAUUUGGAGUUAGGGUUCGAUUUGACGAGUGAGAGAGAGGACGACUGCG
rnacentral:lncRNA from 1 species